rnacentral:rRNA from 1 species
CCUGCUCAAUGAAAUAUAUAUAUAUAAUAUAUAUACAUUUUAAUAGCCGCAAAAUUUUUUAUGUGCUAAGGUAGCAUAAUCAUUUGUUUUUUAAUUAAAAACUAGAAUGAAAGGUUAUACAUUUAAAUUUCUUUAUUAAUUUUUUAUAUAUAAUUUAUAUUAAAUAUAAAAAUAUAUUUUUUAAAUAAAAAGACGAUAAGACCCUAUUAAAUUUUACUUAUAGUUUAACUGGGGAAGUUUUAAAAAUAAAAUUUUUUAUAAAAAUAAAAAUAAAUCUAAUAAAAUUAAAAUUAAAUUAAAUUACUAUAGGGAUAACAGCAUUAUAUUUUUUAAAAGUUCAUAUUAAAAAAAAUGAUUGUGACCUCGAUGUUGAAUUAUAUUUUCUUUAUUAAUGCAAUAAUUAUAAAAGUAGAUCUGUUCGAUCUUUAAAAUAUUACA